AACGCACCUUGCGCUCCCUGGCAUUCCGGGGAGCAUGUCUGUUUGAGUGUCAUGAACUCUUCAACCCACCAGUUUCUUGUAGACUGAUUGGUGUUUGGAUUUUGAGCGUUGCUGGAUCUUCGGAUCGUAGCUCGUUCGUAAUAUAUUAGCAACUCUAAUUCGAACUCGGAUUGACUCAGUGUAAUAGACUAUUCGCUGAGGACACGUGCUUGCAUGUGGCCGAAUGAGAUCUCAGUAGGAGCUUCCAACUACAGUAGUCAACUUUAGAUUAGACCUCAGAUCAGACAGGAUUACCCGCUGAACUUAA
rnacentral:misc_RNA from 1 species